AUGCAAGUCGAACGGAGAUUACUUCGGUAAUCUUAGUGGCGAACGGGUGAGUAACGCGUGGGCAACCUGCCCUCUAGAUGGGGACAACAUCCCGAAAGGGGUGCUAAUACCGAAUAUGACAGCAAUCUCGCAUGAGGAUGCUGUGAAAGAUGGCCUCUAUUUAUAAGCUAUCGCUAGAGGAUGGGCCUGCGUCUGAUUAGCUAGUUGGUGGGGUAACGGCCUACCAAGGCGAUGAUCAGUAGCCGGUCUGAGAGGAUGAACGGCCACAUUGGGACUGAGACACGGCCCAGACUCCUACGGGAGGCAGCAGUGGGGAAUCUUCCGCAAUGGGCGAAAGCCUGACGGAGCAAUGCCGCGUGAGUGAUGAAGGAAUUCGUUCCGUAAAGCUCUUUUGUUUAUGACGAAUGUGCAGGUUGUGAAUAAUGACUUGUAAUGACGGUAGUAAACGAAUAAGCCACGGCUAACUACGUGCCAGCAGCCGCGGUAAUACGUAGGUGGCGAGCGUUGUCCGGAAUUAUUGGGCGUAAAGAGCAUGUAGGCGGUUUUUUAAGUCUGGAGUGAAAAUGCGGGGCUCAACCCCGUAUGGCUCUGGAUACUGGAAGACUUGAGUGCAGGAGAGGAAAGGGGAAUUCCCAGUGUAGCGGUGAAAUGCGUAGAUAUUGGGAGGAACACCAG
rnacentral:rRNA from 1 species